rnacentral:rRNA from 1 species
GGACUACCGGGGUAUCUAAUCCGGUUUGCUCCCCACGCUUUCAUGCCUCAGUGUCAGGAGUAGAAUAGUUAGCUGCCUUCGCCUUUUUUGGUGGUCCUCUAUGGAUCAAUAGAUUUCACCCUUACUCAUAGAGUUCCGCUAACCUCUCCUUUCCUCUAGCAGAAUAGUUUUAGCCAGCUUCCGUCAAGUUGAGCCUGACUUCAACUGAUAACUUAUUCUACCACCUACGCAUCCUUUACGCCCAAUAAAUCCGGAUAACGUUCGCCACCUACGUCUUACCGCGGCGGCUGGCAC